CCCUUAGAUGUUCUGGGCCGCACGCGCGCUACACUGACGAAUGCAACGAGCUUAUAACCUUGGCCGAAAGGUCUGGGUAAUCUCCAAAUUUCGUCGUGAUGGGGAUAGAUUAUUGCAAUUAUUAAUCUUCAACGAGGAAUGCCUAGUAAGCGCAAGUCAUCAGCUUGCGUUGAUUACGUCCCUGCCCUUUGUACACACCGCCCGUCGCUCCUACCAAUUGAAUGGUCCGGUGAAGCGUUCGGACCGUGGCCUUUGGACGGUUCGCCGUCUGUUGGCUGCGGGAAGUUCGUUAAACCUUAUCAUUUAGAGGAAGGAGAAGUCGUANCA
rnacentral:rRNA from 1 species